GCACCAGACUUAGGAUCUGGCGCCUAUGGCGUGGGGGUUCGACUCCCUUCAUCCGCACCA
rnacentral:tRNA from 1 species